rnacentral:rRNA from 1 species
GACGAACGCUGGCGGCGUGCUUAACACAUGCAAGUCGAACGGGUCUGCCCUGUUUUUUGCGGGGUGGGUCAGUGGCGAACGGGUGAGUAACACGUGAGUAACCUGCCCCUCACUUCUGGAUAACCGCUUGAAAGGGUGGCUAAUACGGGGUGUUCUGGCUGUGCCGCAUGGUGUGGCUGGGAAAGAUUCACUUUUGUGGUGUUUUGGUGGGGGAUGGGCUCGCGGCCUAUCAGCUUGUUGGUGGGGUGAUGGCCUGCCAAGGCUUUGACGGGUAGCCGGCCUGGGAGGGUAGGCGGUCAGACUGGGACUGAGAUACGGCCCAGACUCCUGCGGGAGGCAGCAGUGGGGGGUAUUGCACAAUGGGCGGAAGCCUGAUGCAGCGACGUCGCGUGAGGGAUGGAGGCCUUCGGGUUGUGAACCUCUUUCGCCGGUGAAGAAGGUCCUGCUCUUUGGGGUGGGGUUGACGGUAGCCGGGUUAUGAAGCGCCGGCUAACUACGUG